rnacentral:lncRNA from 1 species
ACUCACGUCCUUUUGAAGACGCCCCCGAGGGCGCUGCCCAGCAGGAGGCAGAGCUGCUGCGAGAAGAAGACCCAGGAGAUCUGGGGCAGCGAGCUGUGCGUCUGACAGCGCAGGUCCAGCAGCGUGGGCCCCAGGAAGGCGAUGCACAGGCCGAAGCUGAAGAAGACGCUCCAGUAGGGUCUGGCUCUGUAACCCAGGCUUGAAUGCAGUGGCAUGAUGGGUGCAAUCUUGUUACCUGUUACUGGUCUCUUCAGGUUUUCUUUUUGGCUCAAUCUUGAGAUGGAGGCUCGUUUUGUUGCCCAGGCUGGAGUGCAGUGGCUAUUCACAGGCACAAUCAUCAUACACUGUAGCCUAGAACUCCUGGCCUCAAGCGAUUUUCCUGUCUCAGCCUACAAAGUUGCUGGAACUCUAGAAAAUGCAGCUGAACCAAGCCUGCCUAUCUUGUCUAUGAGCAGCUGAUUCUUUGAAUCUAAAGAAUUGAUACAGGACUUGAUACAUGUGGAAUAACAGAAAGAACCUGGACCGUGGAGUGAGACAGGCUUAGACUUGAGUUCUGGCUACACACUUGGCUGUGCCAACUCAAGGCGGCUACCUUGACAUUAUAAGGCUGAUUUUCUUCAACUGUAAAAUGUCGAUGUAGGAUUACAUGAUAACACAUGCAAAGCCUCUGGUAGAACACUCAGGGCAGCACUGCUCAUGCUUCUUAGUUGCCUUCCCCUGAUCUGGAGUGUCAAUUAAUCUUGGUUUGAGUUCCUCUUGCCCACCAGUGCACUUUGGUCCCCCAUUCAGUCAUGUAGCAAGGGGCUAUUCCUCCAGCUGUUCUUGAGUAAGCAUGGCACCUCACAUUCAUAUAGAAUGGUUACUAAUAGUCAUCCAAGUUAUUGAGAAAAAUAUUGACCACAAUGUACCACUCUCCCACUCCACUUUUUCCUAAUUAAUCUUUCCUUUGGGACUCAGCUAAGUUGUUCAUUCUGCUGGGAGUGCUCCACCCACCCAGAGCUGCCCCGAGUGCCUGCCUUGUGUUCUCUGCAUCCCCUCACCACCUUCCUUUGUGACAAGCAGCUGAGGUGUCUGUAACCCGAAUCAAUACUGGAUCAGCUCCUUGAAGAUAGAGAUUGGGUCACACAAUUAUCCUUAUAUCUUAGAGCACAGCACCUGCCUGGUACAUAGCUGGCAUUCAGAAAAUAUUAGCUACGCAAAAAUGUGUUUAAGUAUUAUAACCUUGAGUUGAUGAAACUCUGAGGCAAGAAAUAGUAUUUAUAGAGGAUUUCAUGAAAAAUGUACAAUUUAUCGAUCUCAUCAGUUCUCAGAUUUGGCUAUAUAUUAAAAUCCCCUGGAAACAUAGAAAAAAUCAGAAUCUCUGGUUGGUGGAGUCCUGUGUUGGUAUUUUGCAAAAGUUCCCAGGACUUCCUAAUGUGCAGCUAGGGUUGGAAACCACUGCUCCAGAAAAUCCACAUUUUACCACUGAAGAACUGCCUGCAUAUCCUGUACCAUUUAGGCCCUGCACUAAAGUGCCUUUAUUGAAUUAUACUUGGGCUUUGUGUCCAAUUUGACUGAACCUGGGAUAUAACUGUGCGACUCUUGUCACCGGAGAUAUGGGGAGAUGUUGUUGUCAAUGGAUCCUCUUUAUGAAGACACACCAGAGAGAUGCCUAUUGGGCAUCAGCACCAAAAAAAGGCCAUGAUCCUCCUGAGCAACCAGUUCAUGUUUGUCUUACGGAUUCCAGGAAUCAUUUAAUUAACACUAUUUUCCAGGUUUGUAGUAGCUGCUGCAAAGCUCAAGAUCAAAGCCAUGGUGCAUCUUUAUCACCUACAAAGAAUUUUGUGGUGUGUGUGUUACAUAUUGACUUGGUUCUGCAUUAUUUUUUGUCUUUUUCUCUUCACCCUCUGAUAUGGUUUAGGUCUGUGUCCCUACCCAAAUCUCAUGUCAAAUUAUAAUUCUCAAUGUUGGAGGAGGGGCCUGGUGGGAGGUGAUUGGAUCAUGGGGGCAGACAUCCCCCUUGCUGUUCUCUCAAUAAUGAGUUUUUAUGAGAUCUGGUCGUUUGAAAGUGUGUAGCACCUCCUCCUUUGCUCUCUUUUUCCUGCUGGCCAUGUGAAGAUGUGCCUGCUUCCCCUUCGCCUUCCGCCAUGAUUGUAAGUUUUCUGAGGCCUCUCCAGAAGCAGAAGCCUGUAUAGCCCACAGAACUAUGAGUCAAUUAAACCUCUUUUCUUUAUAAAUUACCCAGUCUCAAGUAUGUCUUUAUAUCAGUGUGAGAAUGUAUGAAUACACCCUCCUUUCCUUAACUUUUUCUAUAAUAAAGCUUUUUAAUUGAGAUAAUUCACAUAUCAUAAUAUUCGCCCUUUUAAAGUGUACAAUCCAGUGGUUUUUAGUGUAUUUACAAGAUUGUGUGACCAUCACUACUAAUUCCAGACCAUUUCCAUCACCCCAAAAAUAAACUCCACACCCAUUAGCAGUCACUUCUCACUCUCUCUUCCCCUCGACUUACUUUCUGUCUUUAUGGAUUUGCCUGUUCUAGAUAUUUCAUAUCUAGAUAUUUCAUAUAAAUGGAAUCAUACAAUAUGUGGCUUUCUGUGUCUGGUUUCCUGUACUUAGCAUAAUGUUUUCAAGGUUCAUCCAUGGUAUCAGUAGUUUAUUCCUUUUUUAUGGCUGAAUAGUAUUCUAUUGUAUGGACAUACCACAUUUUGUUUAUACAUUCAUCAGCUGUUGGACAUUUGGGUUUCUACUUUUUGGCUAUUAUGAAUUAUGCUGCUGAGAAUAUUCAUGCACAAGUUUUUAUGUGAAUAUGUUUUAGUUCUCUUGGGUACAUAUUAGAAGGGUGGUUUGCUGUGUCAGAUAGUAACUCUGUGUUUAACUUUUUGAGACCCUUUCCUCAUUUAAAGAAAUGUUUUUGUCUUAUAGUAUAGUAUGUAUCUCUGUAAGCCACUACAGAUUCCUCUUUUUGGAAUGAGGUGGCAUAUAAAUAAAUAAAUAAAAAGUCACAAAGCA